rnacentral:rRNA from 1 species
GACGAACGCUGGCGGCGUGCUUAACACAUGCAAGUCGAACGGCAAGGCCCUGCUUUUGUGCUGUGCCCGAGUGGCGAACGGGUGCGUAACACGUGUGUAACCUGCCCUUCUUUUUCGGAUAACUUCAGGAAACUGGGGCUCAUACCGGCUAGGAGCUCCUGCUGCAUGGUGGGGGUUGGAAUGUUUCGGCGGGUGGGGAUGGUCUCGCGGCUUAUCAGCUUGUUGGUGGGGUAGUGGCUUACCACGGCUUUGACGGAUAGUCGGCCUGAGAGGGUGACCGGGGACAUUGGGACUAAGAGACGGCGCAGUGGGCAACAGGGGACAGCAGGGGGGAGUAUUGCACAAUGAGAGGAAGCCGGAUGCGGCGACGCCGGGGUCGGAAUGACGGCCUGCGGGGAAAAAAACGCAGUCGGCUAAGACGAAGCGGGAGUGACGGUAAUGAGUGAAGAAGCACCGGCUAACUACGUG